rnacentral:rRNA from 1 species
UGGAGCAAUCCAUGAGUAAAGCGGCGCACGGGUGAGUAACACGUGACUAACCUACCCUCGAGUGGGGAAUAACUUCGGGAAACCGAGGCUAAUACCGCAUAAUACCCACGGGUCAAAGGAGAAAUCCGCUUGAGGAGGGGGUCGCGGCCGAUUAGUUAGUUGGCGGGGUAAUGGCCCACCAAGACGAUGAUCGGUAUCCGGCCUGAGAGGGCGCACGGACACACUGGAACUGAAACACGGUCCAGACUCCUACGGGAGGCAGCAGUGGGGAAUUUUGCGCAAUGGGGGAAACCCUGACGCAGCAACGCCGCGUGGAGGAUGAAGUCCUUCGGGACGUAAACUCCUUUCGAUCGGGACGAUUAUGACGGUACCGGAAGAAGAAGCCCCGGCUAACUUCGUGCCAGCAGCCGCGGUAAUACGAGGGGGGCGAGCGUUGUUCCGAAUUAUUGGGCGUAAAGGGUGCGUUCGCGGU